CUAGUGAUUUUGUUGUUCUGAAUACCCAAGUGAACAACAAAUCUUAGUCUGCCUUCCUGCUCUGUGGCGAAAGCGUCUCACAUUUCUCAUUUCAGUACGUACUCUGCCCUCUGUUGGAAGAAAAGGUGUAUGGUUUCAAGAUGAAUAAUUCUAUGCGCGGCCAAACGAAUAAACACGAAUAAGCAAACGCUGUAUUUGGAGAUGCCUACUAUAUGGAAAGUGUUUUGAGAAAGCAUAAGUUGGAUUAAAAAAAAACGUGACAAGCUGCAGAAAUGUAAUAUGUCAGCCAAUCAAUUAAAACAAAUGUGUCCAUUGUGAUGUAAUUUAUCUUUUUUACAUUCUACGUAAACACUGACUGCCCGUGGUACAAUAUGUUUUUUUGUCUAUGGUGAUAACUAAAUAUGUGGGAGGCAUUGCUCCGCACUCUGAAAACUAACUCAGGGAAAACAUGUUUUCUUUUUUCUUUUCUUUUUUACGAAGAGUAGCCGAAGGCGAUCGCUUCGGAUGGGAAGUGAUUUACAAAUGAACUUGACAAUAACUUAAUUUACUUUUAGACGCAUGUUCCAUGCCCACUUUGAAUAUUCCCCGUGCGAGAAUGAGGUCGGCAUUACGAGCUUGUUGGACAGCAAUGCUUUCACUAUUCACAUCCUGCCGCUGGGUGAGACGACAAAAUCCAAGCGACAGUUUAGCUGUCAGUUGUCCUUCCACUGACAAUCUUGUGCCAAGCCCUCCACGCUGCGCCACGACUUUACGUGACUGCCAGCGCUGUGGCCGGAAACGCCACUGGAAACUAUGGCGACACCCCUGUGGUCAUCACUUUUGCCCUGACUGCAUGGACACAAUCAUAGAUGCUGGCUUCCGGAACAUUGAGGGUCUGGACUCAAGUCCCUGCCCCGUGUGCAGAAGACAGGCCAUACCUGCUGUGUGACUCUGUAUAUCUACACAGUGUAUAGAUCAAAUGGGGGAGUAAUAUGACAGCAAUGAUAAUAAUAAUCAUAUUUACACGAAUAGCAGAUAUGCAUUUGAAUUGAAAUAAUUUUUAAACCAUUGAUUCAAAACAUUAGCCAUAUCUUAAAAAUAAGAUAUUAUUCUAUGCAAUGAUUUACACCAAGAAAUUAUUGUGUUGUUAUGCUGUUUGUGUCUGUGAUUAAAAAAAAGAUACUAAUUUGUUCUCACUGCAGUUGUGUCUUCCACUGUGCCACCAGCACAUUAUACUAUUACAAUAUAAAACCACAUCACACAAUAUCACGUUUGAACCACU
ensembl:lncRNA